GAGCCCUUCAAAGUAAGCCUUUGUCGAAGGCUCACAGAAGCUGAAACAUUGCACUUUAUAUCUCAAUAAUUCUCUGUGGGAUUAUGUCCAAUUUUGCCUGGUCUCUCUCUCUUGUGUAUUGCUUUGCAGUGGAGCCGCACUUGACACUAGAUAUUCCUCACCUUUUUGUACCUUGUCAUCUUAACAUAACCCUUAGUAAACGAGUCAAACUGUUUGCUAAUGGUUGGACUACUUACCAGGGGUCUGGUGAGUGCAGGUCUCUGCCUCUGCCACUACCGGAUGUGCUCCACCUCAGCUACGUACGUCUAUUGUUAAAGAGAGCAUAGUUCACUGGCUGAGAGUGGUCAGAUAGCUGAGAGACACAACUGGGGACAGCCACAAAAACAGGUUAACACUGAGCAGGAAGUCAAAUUAAAGAAAGUAAAAAAAAAAAAUUAAACAUGUUG